CUGGCAAUGGCGGUGUGCGGUGGUGGUAUACCUGUUGCGUUUGGGAUUUCACUGAGAGAAUAAGAAGGAAUCGACGAUGGACUGUUACGUAACUAUUGCACCAGUGAAGGAUGUCUGUGUGCCGGUUUGUGCUCAGUUUCUCAGCCAGCAGGCCUGAAAAAGUGUGCCACAGCAGUCUGUCUAGUGGUGCUCUUUGUUCUGGAAGGACGCAAGCAUUGCAAGGAGCCAUUUGACCUGCCGCCACACUAAUAUUGUAUUUGGCAAAGCCGAAAGCCUCUGCAAGCAGCCAGUCAUUCCAAGUCUCAACCAAUCCUUCCUCUAGUCAGCCAAUUUCUAGUGUCUAUGCGGAGAGGACUUGCGCAAGAGUGGACACGGGACACUAAAAAGGCGACAAGGACAGACGUAAACUUCCAACCGGUGUUCAUUACAAAAAGGUAUGUAUAUGUACUCUUGCACACUUGAUCAUAAUCUGUUACAAUCGUGCAAGUCAACAUGGCCAUCACAAAUAAACGAGCGCACCAAGGCCUAAGGCGGCUUCUUGC